rnacentral:rRNA from 1 species
GAGUUUGAUCGUGGCUCAGGACGAACGCUGGCGGCAUGCCUAACACAUGCAAGUCGAACGGAGUCUUUGCGGAAGUUUACCUUUGUGAAGACUUAGUGGCGGACGGGUGAGUAACACGUGGGUAAUCUGCCUGAGAGACUGGGACAACAGGGGGAAACCGCUGCUAAUACCAGAUAAGCUCACGGGGGACGGGAGUUCCUGGGAGAAAAGGAGAAAUCCGCUUUCAGAUGAGCCCGCGGCCGUAUUAGCCAGUUGGUGGGGUAACGGCCUACCAAAGCGACGAUCAGUAGCCGGCCUGAGGGGGUGUACAGCCACACUGGAACUGAGACACGGUCCAGACUCCUACGGGAGGCAGCAGUGGGGAAUUUUCCGCAAUGGGCGAAAGCCUGACGGAGCAAUGCCGCGUGAGUGAGGAAGGCCUUCGGUUGUAAAGCUCUGUC